rnacentral:rRNA from 1 species
AUUGAACGCUGGCGGCAGGCCUAACACAUGCAAGUCGAACGAGUGGCGGAAGGGUGAGUAAUGUCUGGGAAACUGCCCGAGGGAGGGGGAUAGCUACUGGACACGGUAGCUAAUACCGCAUACCAUCGGAUGUGCCCAGAUGGGAUUUGCUAGUAGGGGGGGUAACGGCUCACCUAGGCGACGAUCCCUAGUUGGUCUGAGAGGAUGACCAGCCACACUGGAAUUGAGACACGGUCCAGAAUCCUACGGGAGGCAGCAGUGGGGAAUAUGGGACAAUGGGCGCAAGCCUGAUGCAGCCAUGCCGCGUGUAUGAAGAAGGCCUUCGGGUUGUAAAGUACUUUCAGCGAGGAGGCGUUACUCGCAGAAGAAGCACCGGCUAACUCCGUGCCAGCAGCCGCGGUAAUUC